AUGUUGUGGAAAUUGAGGGGGGUGAGGUUAGUAGUCUUUUGGCAGCAUGACCCUGCGACCCCCCAUGAAAUAACACAAGGUGAUCUUCCUUCUGAAAGGAAUGUUGUCCAGGGCCUCCACUGCCACCCUCUUGUUGYCCCUGACGCUGCUCUCCUCCUGGUCGUACAUGGGACACAUGUAGGCUGUUCGCCUCAGGGCGUAGAUGUCCACCUCGUCCUCGUCGUCCCACGGCUGGCGUUGGCACUGACCAGGGACACGUUGCCCUGGCCCAGGGAGGGCAGCAGUUUGGGCCGGGGGGCCACCGGGGGUUUGGGGACCUUUGGAGUAGGAGCAUCCCUCUGGGCUCUCCUGGCCAGCAGGGGUCCUGUCUGGACGAAGGCCUCAGGCCUGAUGAUGUCCCUGGGUGGGCUGCUGCUCCCUCUGGCAGCCUCCUCUGGCUGGGCAGCUUUCGGCAUGGAGAGAACAAACACAUUGUUGCUGAAGCUGCAUGACUCUGAAAGGGCCGGCUCCUCCAGGGUCAGAGGGCAGGUAGGACGGGGCUCAGGCUGGACUACAUCCACAGUGCUGGUAGUGAUGCUCACAGGACUGGUAGGUUGGGACUCGAGCAUAACGGAACACACAGGAUUACUGGGCAUAACUUUUCUCCUAGUGGUGCUCCGAGGGUUGCUAGGCCUCCCCUCAGGUCUGGAAGGCUGAACAUCAGGCUGGACCAGGCUGACUGGUCUAACAGGCCGUCUAGUGGGGCCCAGAGGGUUGCUAGGCCUCCCCUCAGGUCUGGAAGGCUGUACAUCAGGCUGGACUAGGCCCACUGGUCUAACAGGCCGUCUAGUGGGGCCCAGAGGGUUGCUAGGCCUCCCCUCAGGUCUGGAAGGCUGUACAUCAGGUUGGACCAGGCCCACUGGUCUAACAGGCCGUCUGGGUUGCCGAGGGUUGCUAGGCCUCCCCUCAGGUCUGGAAGGCUGUACAUCAGGUUGGACCAGGCCUACGGGGCUAACAGGCCGUCUAGUGGGGCGUCGAGGGUUGCUAGGCCUCCCCUCAGGUCUAGUGAUGCUGACAGGGAUUCUAGGUAUCAUUGUCUCAGGCUGGUACAGGCUCUCUGGGCUGCUGGGCCGGGAAUCAGGCAGAAGCUUGUAGUUCUUCAGAACCUCAGUGAAGGAAAGCUUUGUUCGGCCUGCGUCUGUUGGUUUUGGCAGGUAGCUGGGAGCUGCUGCUGUUAAACCAACCGGGAGACUCACGACACCACCUGGACAGGAACAGGGACUGGAGUCUCUCUCUCUCUUCUGUGGGCAGCUGUGGCCCUCUUGGGCCUGACGUCAUCAGGAGGGGGAGCACGGGUACAACAUGCAGGGAGGGGAACGCUGAGGGCCUGAAAGAGGAGGCCAUCACUGGGGCCUGGCUGACCUCUUCUCUCUCCAACGCACUUGUUAGAGAAGGACAGAGCAGCGGAACACCGAUGGACCUUGGUCCUCCAGACCCAUCAGGUUGGGCCUCCUAUUCAUCAUUCACUGGUCUGCAGGAUUCUAAUCAGAAUGCUCCUCUAGUCUUGAAUAUUGGAAUAGGAAGUGGCUUUCGGCACCAUUAAAUUCUAUAAAAAGAGAGCCACAGAAACAUCUUUGUUUAGUAUUUGGGGAAAUGUUUUUCAGUUAUUACCUGUCUCUUAAUUUCACAUCAAAUCAGUUCGAGUUUGAAAUAAUUAUUUGGGAGAAGAUACAUUUAUUGGUAUGACAAGUUUGUUCAAUUCAUUUCUAAAAUCAUAGAUAUAACGGGUGGUCAAUAAAACUGCUAUCCCCUCAUUUAUCUGAUAAACAGACAGACGGGGUACUUACCGUUCACCUUGUAGUUCAAUCAGCUAAUGAUCCGUCAUUUCACCAGUGGCAGCUUGGUGUUUGAUCAUUACGUCAUCAGAGGCAUUUUGAUGGUGACGCAACAAUGCCAAGCAUCAACCUUCCUGUCAUGGCUGCCCCUGUAGUUUAAUAUGUCAACGAAGUGUAUUAAUCAGACAAUCAAACAUCAAUGAAUGACGAAUUAGUGAAGCAAUUUCUAAAAAUCAGCUUCAGUGUACGUACUGACAUAAUUAAGGACCAGACUAACAAUUAAAAACGCAAAUCAAUGAUGCGUAAAAGUAGAUCGCUCCCACAUAGAAAGUUCGAAAACAAACCACUUUAGGGGUCAAUAAACUAGCCAAGACUUUGGACGAGGUAUUUGUCCCAAUACUGUAGGACAGGCUACUUAUAUAUGACAACACAUCUCACAAUCAAUUCGUGCAUAUAGUACAAAAUGCAUUCAGCAAAUUCCGUGCGUUUUUGUGGC
rnacentral:lncRNA from 1 species